AUGCAAGUCGAACGAUAGUUGGGGUUUACUUCAACGAAAAGUGGCGCACGGGUGCGUAACGCGUAUGCAACCUACCUUAUUCAGGGGGAUAGCCCGAAGAAAUUCGGAUUAACACCGCAUAAAAUCACAGCUCAGCAUUGAGUAAUGAUCAAAUAUUUAUAGGAAUAAGAUGGGCAUGCGUGUCAUUAGCUAGUUGGCGGGGUAACGGCCCACCAAGGCGACGAUGACUAGGGGAUCUGAGAGGAUGACCCCCCACACUGGUACUGAGACACGGACCAGACUCCUACGGGAGGCAGCAGUAAGGAAUAUUGGUCAAUGGAGGCAACUCUGAACCAGCCAUGCCGCGUGCAGGAAGACAGCCCUCUGGGUCGUAAACUGCUUUUAUUCGGGAAUAAACCUUUCUACGUGUAGAGAGCUGAAUGUACCGAAGGAAUAAGGAUCGGCUAACUCCGUGCCAGCAGCCGCGGUAAUACGGAGGAUCCAAGCGUUAUCCGGAUUUAUUGGGUUUAAAGGGUGCGUAGGCGGCUUAUUAAGUCAGGGGUGAAAGACGGUGGCUCAACCAUCGCAGUGCCUUUGAUACUGAUGAGCUUGAAUGAACUAGAGGUAGGCGGAAUGUGACAAGUAGCGGUGAAAUGCAUAGAUAUGUCACAGAACACCGAUUGCGAAGGCAGCUUACUAUGGUUUUAUUGACGCUGAGGCACGAAAGCGUGGGGAUCAAACAGGAUUAGAUACCCUGGUAGUCCACGCCCUAAACGAUGAAUACUCGCUGUUAGCGAUACACAGUUAGCGGCUAAGCGAAAGCGUUAAGUAUUCCACCUGGGGAGUACGCCCGCAAGGGUGAAACUCAAAGGAAUUGACGGGGGCCCGCACAAGCGGAGGAGCAUGUGGUUUAAUUCGAUGAUACGCGAGGAACCUUACCCGGGCUUGAAAGUUAGUGAAUGAUUUAGAGAUAGAUCAGUGAGCAAUCACACGAAACUAGGUGCUGCAUGGCUGUCGUCAGCUCGUGCCGUGAGGUGUUGGGUUAAGUCCCGCAACGAGCGCAACCCCUAUGUUUAGUUGCCAGCACGUUAAGGUGGGGACUCUAAACAGACUGCCUGUGCAAACAGAGAGGAAGGAGGGGACGACGUCAAGUCAUCAUGGCCCUUACGUCCGGGGCUACACACGUGCUACAAUGGAUGGUACAGAGGGCAGCAAGCUGGCAACAGCAAGCAAAUCUCAAAAAGCCAUUCACAGUUCGGAUAGAGGUCUGCAACUCGACCUCUUGAAGUUGGAUUCGCUAGUAAUCGCGUAUCAGCAAUGACGCGGUGAAUACGUUCCCGGGCCUUGUACACACCGCCCGUCAAGCCAUGGAAGUUGGGGGUACCUAAAGUAUGUAACCGCAAGGAGCGUCCUAGG
rnacentral:rRNA from 1 species